rnacentral:rRNA from 1 species
CGAACGCUGGCGGCGUGCUUACCACAUGCACGUCGAACGGAAAGGCCCUGCUUUUGUGGGGUGCUCGAGUGGCGAACGGGUGAGUAACACGUGAGUAACCUGCCCUUGACUUUGGGAUAACUUCAGGAAACUGGGGCUAAUACCGGAUAGGAGCUCCUGCUGCAUGGUGGGGGUUGGAAAGUUUCGGCGGUUGGGGAUGGACUCGCGGCUUAUCAGCUUGUUGGUGGGGUAGUGGCUUACCAAGGCUUUGACGGGUAGCCGGCCUGAGAGGGUGACCGGCCACAUUGGGACUGAGAUACGGCCCAGACUCCUACGGGAGGCAGCAGGGGGGAAUAUUGCACAAUGGGCGGAAGCCUGAUGCAGCAACGCCGCGUGCGGGAUGACGGCCUUCGGGUUGUAAACCGCUUUCGCCUGUGACGAAGCGUGAGUGACGGUAAUGGGUAAAGAAGCACCGGCUAACUACGUG